rnacentral:rRNA from 1 species
CCUACGGGAGGCAGCAGUGAGGAAUAUUGGUCAAUGGACGAGAGUCUGAACCAGCCAAGUAGCGUGAAGGAUGACUGCCCUACGGGUUGUAAACUUCUUUUAUACGGGAAUAAAAUGCUCCACGUGUGGGAGUUUGUAUGUACCAUACGAAUAAGGACCGGCUAAAUCCGUGCCAGCAGCCGCGGUAAUACGGAGGACCCGAGCGUUAUCCGGAUUUAUUGGGUUUAAAGGGAGCGUAGGUGGGUUGUUAAGUCAGUUGUGAAAGUUUGCGGCUCAACCGUAAAAUUGCAGUUGAAACUGGCAGUCGUGAGUACAGUAGAGGUAGGCGGAAUUCGUGGUGUAGCGGUGAAAUGCUUAGAUAUCACGAAGAACUCCGAUUGCGAAGGCAGCUCGCUGGACUGCGACUGACGCUGAGGCUCGAAGGUGUGGGUAUCAAACAGGAUUAGAUACCCGAGUAGUC